rnacentral:rRNA from 1 species
GCAAGUCGAACGGCAGCGCGGGGCAACCUGGCGGCGAGUGGCGAACGGGUGAGUAAUAUAUCGGAACGUACCCAAGAGUGGGGGAUAACGUAGCGAAAGUUACGCUAAUACCGCAUACGAUCUAAGGAUGAAAGCGGGGGAUCGCAAGACCUCAUGCUCCUGGAGCGGCCGAUAUCUGAUUAGCUAGUUGGUGAGGUAAAGGCUCACCAAGGCGACGAUCAGUAGCUGGUCUGAGAGGACGACCAGCCACACUGGAACUGAGACACGGUCCAGACUCCUACGGGAGGCAGCAGUGGGGAAUUUUGGACAAUGGGCGCAAGCCUGAUCCAGCAAUGCCGCGUGAGUGAAGAAGGCCUUCGGGUUGUAAAGCUCUUUUGUCAGGGAAGAAACGGUAGAAGCUAAUAUCCCUUGCUAAUGACGGUACCUGAAGAAUAAGCACCGGCUAACUACGUGCCAGCAGCCGCGGUAAUACGUAGGGUGCAAGCGUUAAUCGGAAUUACUGGGCGUAAAGCGUGCGCAGGCGGUUUUGUAAGUCUGUCGUGAAAGCCCCGGGCUCAACCUGGGAAUUGCGAUGGAGACUGCAAGGCUUGAAUCUGGCAGAGGGGGGUAGAAUUCCACGUGUAGCAGUGAAAUGCGUAGAGAUGUGGAGGAACACCGAUGGCGAAGGCAGCCCCCUGGGUCAAGAUUGACGCUCAUGCACGAAAGCGUGGGGAGCAAACAGGAUUAGAUACCCUGGUAGUCCACGCCCUAAACGAUGUCUACUAGUUGUCGGGUUUUAAUUAACUUGGUAACGCAGCUAACGCGUGAAGUAGACCGCCUGGGGAGUACGGUCGCAAGAUUAAAACUCAAAGGAAUUGACGGGGACCCGC